rnacentral:rRNA from 1 species
UACGUAGGGACCAAGCGUUGUUCGGAUUUACUGGGCGUAAAGGGCGCGUAGGCGGCAUGACAAGUCACUUGUGAAAUCUCCGGGCUUAACUCGGAACGGUCAAGUGAUACUGUCGCGCUAGAGUGCGGAAGGGGCAAUCAGAAUUCUUGGUGUAGCGGUGAAAUGCGUAGAUAUCAAGAGGAAUACCUGAGGUGAAGACGGGUUGCUAGGCCGACACUGACGCUGAGGCACGAAAGCGUGGGGAGCAAACAGG